GGCUAACAGCAGGAGCUCACUCUGCUUCCCUUAUUCGAACUGACAGCCUUUUGGUCAACAAGUUCACCAACUCAGCGGUUAACGUGCCGCACCACCGGAGGCUCCUGUAUUGAUGUUUUCCACCAGGAGCCAAAAAUGGAUUUGGAGAAGGGAGUGUUGGAUGAGACAGAGGCCAGGAAGAUUGAAGGCGGAAAGGUCUUUUCAUGAAACUUUGCCCCGUGUAUUACUCCAUCAAGAGUACGUGUAAACCAACUGCUUAAAUUAACAACUCACAGCCAACCAGGAUCUUUAGACCCACUUCUUAAAGUGU
rnacentral:lncRNA from 11 species